rnacentral:rRNA from 1 species
CAGUCGCCGCGGUAAUACGAAGGGUGCAAGCGUUAAUCGGAAUUACUGGGCGUAAAGCGUGCGUAGGCGGUGAGUUAAGUCUGCUGUGAAAUCCCCGGGCUCAACCUGGGAACUGCAUUUGUGACUGGCAGGCUAGAGUAUGGCAGAGGGGGGUGGAAUUCCGCGUGUAGCAGUGAAAUGCGUAGAUAUGCGGAGGAACACCGAUGGCGAAGGCAGCCCCCUGGGCCAAUACUGACGCUCAUGCACGAAAGCGUGGGGAGCAAACAGGACUAGAUACCCCUGUAGUCCCUGUCUCUUAUAC